UUAACACAUGCAAGUCGAACGGAAAGGCCCUUCGGGGUACUCGAGUGGCGAACGGGUGAGUAACACGUGGGUGAUCUGCCUCGUACUUUGGGAUAAGCCUGGGAAACUGGGUCUAAUACCGRAUAUGACCUUGAGAUGCAUGUCUCUUGGUGGAAACUUUUUGGGUACGAGAUGGGCCCGCGGCCUAUCAGCUUGUUGGUGGGGUAAUGGCCUACCAAGGCGACGACGGGUAGCCGGCCUGAGAGGGCGACCGGCCACACUGGGACUGAGACACGGCCCAGACUCCUACGGGAGGCAGCAGUGGGGAAUAUUGCACAAUGGGCGGAAGCCUGAUGCAGCGACGCCGCGUGAGGGAUGACGGCCUUCGGGUUGUAAACCUCUUUCACCAGGGACGAAGAGAAAUUGACGGUA
rnacentral:rRNA from 1 species